UACGUAGGGUGCGAGCGUUGACCGGAAUUAUUGGGCGUAAAGAGCUCGUAGGCGGUGUGUCACGUCGGCCGUGAAAACCUGCAGCUUAACUGUGGGCGUGCGGUCGAUACGGGCAUCACUGGAGUUCGGCAGGGGAGACUGGAAUUCCUGGUGUAGCGGUGAAAUGCGCAGAUAUCAGGAGGAACACCGGUGGCGAAGGCGGGUCUCUGGGCCGAUACUGACGCUGAGGAGCGAAAGCGUGGGGAGCAAACAGG
rnacentral:rRNA from 1 species